ACCAGUGUGGCACAGUGGUUUGAGUGUUGGGCUGUGACUCUGGAGACCAGGCCUCGAUUCCCUGCUCAGCCA